UACGUAGGGUACAAGCGUUGUCCGGAAUUAUUGGGCGUAAAGAGCUCGUAGGCGGUUUGUCGCGUCUGCUGUGAAACUCGGGGCUUAACCCGGGCCUGCAGUGGGUACGGGCAGACUAGAGUGCGGUAGGGGAGACUGGAAUUCCUGGUGUAGCGGUGAAAUGCGCAGAUAUCAGGAAGAACACCCGUGGCGAAGGCGGUUCUCUGGGACGGUACUGACGCUGAGACGCGAAAGCGUGGGGAGCGAACAGG
rnacentral:rRNA from 1 species